rnacentral:rRNA from 1 species
UACGUAGGGUGCAAGCGUUGUCCGGAAUUAUUGGGCGUAAAGAGCUCGUAGGCGGUCUGUUGCGUCGGCUGUGAAAACCCGAGGCUCAACCUCGGGCCUGCAGCCGAUACGGGCAGACUAGAGUUCGGCAGGGGAGACUGGAAUUCCUGGUGUAGCGGUGAAAUGCGCAGAUAUCAGGAGGAACACCGGUGGCGAAGGCGGCUCUCUGGUCCACAACUGACGCUGAGGUGCGAAAGCUAGGGGAGCAAACAGG